CUUUAAGUUUCAGUCUUGCGACCGUACUCCCCAGGCGGCUAGCUUAACGGCUUCCCUGCGACACUUCAUUCGCGACUUGCGAAUGAAUCAUCUAGCUAGCAUCGUUUACGGCUGGGACUACCCGGGUAUCUAAUCCGGUUCGCUCCCCCAGCUUUCAUCCCUCACCGUCGAGCGCGUUCUGGCUGACCGCCUUCGCCACUGGUGGUCUUCCGCGGAUCAAAGGAUUUUACCCCUACACGCGGAGUACCGUCCGCCUCUCCCGCCUCCUAGUCCCGCGGUAUCCUCUGCAGGUCACCCGUUGAGCGGGUGGAUUUAACAGAGGACCUACGGAACCGGCUACGGAUGCUUUA
rnacentral:rRNA from 1 species